AGUGGCGAACGGGUGAGUAAUACAUCGGAACGUGCCCUGUAGUGGGGGAUAACUAGUCGAAAGAUUAGCUAAUACCGCAUACGACCUGAGGGUGAAAGUGGGGGACCGCAAGGCCUCAUGCUAUAGGAGCGGCCGAUGUCUGAUUAGCUAGUUGGUGAGGUAAGGCUCACCAAGGCGACGAUCAGUAGCUGGUCUGAGAGGACGAUCAGCCACACUGGGACUGAGACACGGCCCAGACUCCUACGGGAGGCAGCAGUGGGGAAUUUUGGACAAUGGGCGAAAGCCUGAUCCAGCAAUGCCGCGUGUGUGAAGAAGGCCUUCGGGUUGUAAAGCACUUUUGUCCGGAAAGAAAUGGCUCUGGUUAAUACCUGGGGUCGAUGACGGUACCGGAAGAAUAAGGACCGGCUAACUACGUGCCAGCAGCCGCGGUAAUACGUAGGGUCCAAGCGUUAAUCGGAAUUACUGGGCGUAAAGCGUGCGCAGGCGGUUGUGCAAGACCGAUGUGAAAUCCCCGAGCUUAACUUGGGAAUUGCAUUGGUGACUGCACGGCUAGAGUGUGUCAGAGGGGGGUAGAAUUCCACGUGUAGCAGUGAAAUGCGUAGAGAUGUGGAGGAAUACCGAUGGCGAAGGCAGCCCCCUGGGAUAACACUGACGCUCAUGCACGA
rnacentral:rRNA from 1 species